ensembl:lncRNA
CCGCGAUUCAACGCAUUGGCCAUGUUGUCCAUCGAAAGUCAGCUGAUUCAGCAGCUACAUGACUUCAUUCCCAAAGUCAUCGAAAAAGGUUGCCCAGAGGAAGAACCGUCGUUCCACCUUUCUCUUCAAGUGAGCCCUCACCCUUGCACUUUUUUCCCAUUGGAUUCGUCUCCUGGUUAGCCGUGAUGGCGGUUUGCCUGCAGGAGAGGAAAGAAGAGGGAGAGGGAAGAUGGAGGAUGGGGUGGACACAGAAAAGGCGUCACUUCUGUCAGAGGUGGAGAAGUGUGCAGGAAGCAUUUGCAUGUGUACGAAGACAAUACAUGAUUUAGUCCUGUGUCUAUGUAACGAGGACACGCAUGGAGGACGCGCGCCACCCCUCCCGACGUGGUGUUCGGUGCGCGUCAUCGCCGGCCUUCUAGCCACGCCGCUCCUCCUCCCACGGCACUGUCCUGUCUUGUUAUUGCACACACCUGGUGUUCAUUCCCUCAUUAGGUUGCCUAUAUUAGUUCCCUUGUUUCUGGGCGUCUUUGUGUGGUAUUGUUCUAUGUUCAGUGUUCUGUAUUUGCCUUGUGCUGUGGGUUUUGCGCUUGUGCGUUAUUUGAGUUUUGCGUGCCUUGUUUUCUGAAGAACACAAUACAAUUACUUUCCCUGCAUCCCUGCAUUCGACUCCUUUUCUACACAC